rnacentral:miRNA from 1 species
UCUGAGGCAGUGGAAACAGAGUA